rnacentral:rRNA from 1 species
UACGGAGGGUGCAAGCGUUAUCCGGAUUCACUGGGCUUAAAGGGUGCGUAGGUGGGUUGGUAAGUCAGUGGUGAAAUCUCCAGGCUUAACUUGGAAACUGCCAUUGAUACUAUCAAUCUUGAAUACCGUGGAGGUCAGCGGAAUAUGUCAUGUAGCGGUGAAAUGCUUAGAUAUGACAUAGAACACCAAUUGCGAAGGCAGCUGGCUACACGAAUAUUGACACUGAUGCACGAAAGCGUGGGGAUCAAACAGG